CAGGGGGCACCCCCACACGGGCCCGCCGAGCCAGCUCCCACCACGGUUCCGGACCUUCUCGGAGCUGGGCUACUGUGCAGAGAUAAAUAGAAAAUAUCCUCGGGUAAGGAUUAAUUUUCCCAAGCUAAGCGCUCAUUUCUGAGCAACUCAGGACACUGCACAGCGAGGAGAGAUGAGUCUGAAGGAACAAUGAGAAGCUUGCAUGUCCAGCAGCACCGUCGACCGUCUUGCCCCUGAAACCGCAGACUAGGACAAUGUGUGUGACGUCCCGCCAACUGUCUCUUUAUUAGGAAAACGGGCACAGGCCCCACCAACCCUGGAUCCCUCUGCCCAGAGGCCUCCAUUUGAACCCCAGGAUUCACCCAAAUUCUUCCUCUGAGAAGCUGGAGACUUUUCUGAACGGAUGAAUCACCCUCACCCCAUGGGCUGGAGGGGCAGGAUGGAGUUCAGUGGAGAUGCUGCUGACCAUUUGCAAGGUUUUCGUUCAUUCAUUCAACACGGUCGAGCACUGGGCACGGCUCCGGCAGAGAAGGGGUGAGCACACACAGCUGUCUGAAGGCCAGGUAGAGAGCCCUCACCAGGAACCGAACCACCUGACCCGACCUGGGACUUAGGGUCUCCAGGAAGGUGAGAACCCUCUGCUGUGGCAUUUUGUCGGACAGCCUGAGCCGCCUGAGGCCCACCCAGGGGCCAGACUUGCUGG